rnacentral:rRNA from 1 species
GACAGAGGUGCCAAGCGUUAGGCGGAUCCCUGGGCUUAAAGCGUGUGUAGGCGGACUUGUAAGUACCUUGUGAAAUCCCACGGCUCACCCGUGGAACUGCGUCGGAUACUGGAUGGCUUGAAUUCGGGAGAGGGAUGCAGAAUUCCAGGUGUAGCGGUGAAAUGCGUAGAUAUCUGGAGGAAUACCGGUGGCGAAGGCGGCAUCCUGGACCGACAUUGACGCUGAACGGCGAAAGCUAGGGGAGCAAACGGG